rnacentral:rRNA from 1 species
UACGGAGGAUGCGAGCGUUAUCCGGAUUUAUUGGGUUUAAAGGGUGCGUAGGCGGGAUAUUAAGUCAGCGGUGAAAGUUUUCGGCUUAACCUUAAAAUUGCCGUUGAAACUGUUAUUCUUGAGUGCAGUAGAGGUAGGCGGAAUUCGUUGUGUAGCGGUGAAAUGCGUAGAUAUAACGAGGAACUCCGAUUGCGUAGGCAGCUUACUAUAUUGCUACUGACGCUGAGGCACGAAAGUGUGGGUAUCAAACAGG